UACGGAGGGUGCAAGCGUUAAUCGGAAUUACUGGGCGUAAAGCGUGCGCAGGCGGUUUGUUAAGGCCGUUGUGAAAGCCCCGAGCUCAACUUGGGAAUUGCAGUGGAUACUGGCAGGCUGGAGUACGGUAGAGGAAGGUGGAAUUCCCGGUGUAGCAGUGAAAUGCGUAGAUAUCGGGAGGAACACCAGUGGCGAAGGCGGCCUUCUGGACCAGUACUGACGCUCAUGCACGAAAGCGUGGGGAGCAAACAGG
rnacentral:rRNA from 1 species